rnacentral:rRNA from 1 species
GACAGAGGAUGCAAGCGUUAUCCGGAAUGAUUGGGCGUAAAGCGUCUGUAGGUGGCUUUUCAAGUCCGCCGUCAAAUCCCAGGGCUCAACCCUGGACAGGCGGUGGAAACUACCAAGCUGGAGUACGGUAGGGGCAGAGGGAAUUUCCGGUGGAGCGGUGAAAUGCAUUGAGAUCGGAAAGAACACCAACGGUGAAGACAGGUGACUGGGCCAGUUCUGACACUGAGGCACGAAAGCGUGGGGAGCGAACGGG